GGUGUCAUGGGAAAGGAAGUGGUGUAAUGCAAUAUAUUCACCAUCUCCUGACAGUACCACAAUGAGAUACCUUUUUCUGUAGGUGGUUCAGAUGUAUGUCAGUAGAUAGUGCCGAUAAAUGCUCUUCCAGCCUGAUCCUGCUCGACCUGAUGUGCAAAUAGAUGCAAAAGAUAUCCAAGCCCAUGGAGUGAAACAGUGGUGCUUGCUGCUCGACAUGAAAGAUGUAUCUUCUGUGGGAGCUCAUUUCUUUUGUUACAGCAGAAAAUAAAAAGAUUUUCAUAAAAGUGAAGAUAAAACACUUGAUAAUAUGUCUGUGAACAUAGUUCCAUUUUACCUCAGCUGUGGCAUGAAAGACCAUGAAAUAUCUUCAACUGGCUCUUCAUUAAAUCACACUAUCUUUAAACAUAUUUCAAGGAAAGUAAGGAGUUUCAGAUAUUAAAAAACAUAUACAAAUAUUUCAUAGGUACUGUAUGUGAAGGUUCACUCAAUCAUCCAAGGCCAAAUUACUUGAAGAACUGUUAAAUUAUUAUGAUUUUAAAAAUAAUUACUGUAAUACUUUGGGGAAUACAUUUGUCAUAACAAAUACAGAACAUAUUUUCUAAUUUCUAUUAUGGCUGUCAAGGUCAUUCGGUGACAGAAUGCAAAAUCUUAUUUUUCUCAUUCAGAUAUUGUUAGAUGCAUAAAUUCUUUAGCUAAUGUAGAAAAGCAUUUAAAAAUUUAAAUUAAUUAAUGAAGAAAUUGUCUUUGCCUGAUAUCACACAACCAUUUUUUUAUCUUGUGAACAGAAUUUAACAAUACACAGGCUCAGGCUGGCUUUAUUCCACUAAUACAUGCCAUUUCCAAAAGUGUGUUGCCUAUGUAUUAAACACCAUGCACACACAAGUAUUUUAGCAUUCCUUGAAAAUGAUUUUUAAAUCCACAUUUAUUGUAAGUGCUUUGGAGGCAAGAACCAUCUUUUGUUAUUGAACAAUGCAAAUGGGAUCUUGGUCCAUAAUUGGGGCUUCUAAGCACCGUGAAUUCUUUCACUAAUGUUUCUCAUUCUCUUUUUCCCUCUCUUUGUCCCUCCGCAGAUUUGCUAGUGUUUAAAAAAGUUAGGAUCCCUUGCAUCCUCACCAGUCUUUACAUUUGCCCAAGAAUCAGAUUCAGUUUAGCCCAGCAUUCUUCACAAAGAUAAAAGGGUGACAGAUCCUGACACACUUGUAAUUUUCAAAACCAGAGAAGCUGAUUCCUAAAACAGCAUCCAAACUGAAACUGUACCAGUGUUGGUA
rnacentral:lncRNA from 1 species